rnacentral:rRNA from 1 species
GUGGGGAAUAUUGGACAAUGGGCGAAAGCCUGAUCCAGCCAUGCCGCGUGUGUGAAGAAGGUCUUCGGAUUGUAAAGCACUUUAAGUUGGGAGGAAGGGCAGUAAGUUAAUACCUUGCUGUUUUGACGUUACCGACAGAAUAAGCACCGGCUAACUUCGUGCCAACAGCCGCGGUAAUACGAAGGGUGCAAGCGUUAAUCGGAAUUACUGUGCGUAAAGCGCGCGUAGGUGGUUUUGUAAGUUGGAGGUGAAAUCCCCGGGCUCAACCUGGGAACUGCCGCCGAAACUGCAUGACUAGAGUAGGGUAGAGGGUAGUGGAAUUGCCUGUGUAGCGGUGAAAUGCGUAGAUAUAGGAAGGAACACCAGUGGCGAAGGCGACUACCUGGACUGAUACUGACACUGAGGUGCGAAAGCGUGGGGAGCAAACAGGAUUAGAAACCCUUGUAGUCC